rfam:Populus trichocarpa isolate Nisqually-1 chromosome 9, whole genome shotgun sequence.
AUGGAUAUAGUCGAAUGGUAAAUUUUCUCUUUGCCAAGGAGAAGACGCGGGUUCGAUUCCCUCUAUUCACC